rnacentral:ncRNA from 2 species
GGGGGAGUAUGAUCGCAAGGCUGAAACUUAAAGGAAUUGACGGAAGGGCACCACCAGGAGUGGAGCCUGCGGCUUAAUUUGACUCAACACGGGGAAACUUACCAGGUCUAAACAUAGUAAGGAUUGACAGACUGAGAGCUCUUUCUUGAUUCUAUGGGUGGUGGUGCAGGGCCGUUCUUAGUUGGUGGAGCGAUUUGUCUGGUUAAUUCCGUUAUCGAACGAGACCUCAGCCUGCUAACUAGCUACGUGGAGGCAUCCCUUCAUGGUCGGCUUCCUAGAGGGACUAUGGCCGUUUAGGCCAAGGAAGUUUGAGGCAAUAACAGGUCUGUGAUGCCCUUAGAUGUUCUGGGCCGCACGUGUGCUACACUGAUGUAAUCAACGAGUUCACACCUUGACCCACAGGCCCGGGUAAUCUUUGAAAUUUCAUCGUGAUGGGGAUAGAUCAUUGCAAUUGUUGGUCUUCAACGAGGAAUUCCUAGAAAGCGCGAGUCAUCAGCUCCCAUUAACUAUGUCCCUGCCCUUUGUACACACCGCCCGUCGCUCCUACAAAUUGAAUGAUCCGGUGAAGUGUUCGGAUCGCGGCGAUGUGGGUGGUGUAACACCCCGAUCCGGCCGACAAGGCUGUGGUCGAAGCCUUACAUUGCUUGG